GUUAUGUUGUAGAUAUAUCAGUUGGGGCUGGGCACCUCAAGAUCCUUUGAGUUUUGUGUUUGAAGAGCAUGGUGUCUCCAACCUCUGGGAGGAGCUUCUGGAACUAACUACUGAGCUGUUGUGAGUGAAGCGUUUGUCCAGCCUGUGAGGAAAACAACUAUGCAGAGGAGUGACAGAGUUCCUUGAGCCCUGAAGUGAGAGAGACUUGAUGGGGACAUCACAUUUGGGACUCAGUGUUCCAAGGUCUCUCAUUCUCUACACAUUGCCCAGUUGUGGGUCUCUAUUUGUUCCCACCUAAUCCAAGAGGAAGGAGGCUUCUCUGAGGAUGUGUUAAACUAAGGCCAUCUUCAUGACCGAGGACUUGGAAGCAUCCAUCAGAGCCAGGCAGGAAAGUCCGUCCCGACAGAGGCAAUGCAGGAGGAAGCUGAGAUCUUGCUCCUGGCACAAAAGCCCCCACUCCACGGCUGGCUUUCAUCCCGUUGCUCUGACAGCCACUCUACUCAAGAAGCUGCAGAAAUGAACUCGGGCGACAGCGAUUGCUGCCCUCCCAGCGUUAAUACGCCCGCCUGCAUAUCGCUAUAUUAGAAAUCACAAGUUGUU